AUUGAACGCUAACGGCAUGCUUAACACAUGCAAGUCGAACGGCAGCACAGUAGUAGCAAUACUAUGGGUGGCGAGUGGCGGACGGGUGAGUAAUACAUAGGAAUCUGCCUUGUAGUGGGGGAUAACCCGGGGAAACUCGGGCUAAUACCGCAUAAUCUUUACGAAGCAAAGUGGGGGACCGUAAGGCCUUACGCUAUAAGAUGAGCCUAUGUCGGAUUAGCUAGUUGGUGGGGUAAAGGCCUACCAAGGCAACGAUCCGUAGCUGGUCUGAGAGGAUGAUCAGCCACACUGGAACUGAGACACGGUCCAGACUCCUACGGGAGGCAGCAGUGGGGAAUAUUGGACAAUGGGGGGAACCCUGAUCCAGCCAUGCCGCGUGUGUGAAGAAGGCCUUAUGGUUGUAAAGCACUUUAAGCGAGGAGGAGGCUACUGAGACUAAUACUCUUGGAUAGUGGACGUUACUCGCAGAAUAAGCACCGGCUAACUCUGUGCCAGCCGCCGCUGUAA
rnacentral:rRNA from 1 species